CAACCCUCGAACCCCUCCGGGGGGUCGGCGUUGGGGAUCGGCCCUCCCUCGCGGGGGGCCGUCUCCGAAAUACAGUGGCGGUCUCGCCGCAGCCUCUCCUGCGCAGUAGUUUGCACACUCGCACCGGGAGCGCGGCGCGUCCACAGCCGUUAAACACCCAACUUCCUGAAAUG
rnacentral:misc_RNA from 1 species